ensembl:lncRNA
CUCAUGUUACAGCUCCAGCCUCCCGGUGUGAAGCCAAGACUUGUACUAAAUCAUGAAUGGAUAUUAGGCAGGUGGGGUGAAAGCCAGGGCACCUCACAGCGUGCUCCUGCUGGUGCCGCUGCUGCUCUGCUCCGUCCUCCUGCACCCACCGCAGCUCUUCCUCCUCCCCGGGGCUGCAGAUCCUGCAGAGCACCCACGGCUGCUUCCAUUGCCCCUCAGCUCAGGACAUCCGGCCCUCAGAAAGUGCAGAAAGCCCUGAAUUCCUCAUUUUCUUCACGCAAUGAGAAGGGCUUCAGGACUCGGAUUACCCCCAUGAAAUCUCUCCCUGUCCCAAAGCACGUCCUGCGCGCUGGCUGAGGCAGGAGAAGUGUUCCAGUCUCUAUCGAAACCUGCGACUUCCACCACCCCUUUGGUGGCUGGGAAUGGCGCCCAGACAUGAAAUAACGAACUGAAACCCCUCCACGCGUUGACCAAAGAAAACAAGCUGUCAAACAGAAAUAUCCCCUCGCUCCUUUCCGAGGCGGACCCAAUCUCGUUCCCAUCUGCAGGCUGUGCGGCGCUGGGAAGGCAGCAUGAGGAACUCAGCAUGAAAUCGUCAGCGACGGCGUGCGGUGCUGUUUGUGCAGCAUAAAUCAGUCUGGGGAAUGAAGAGCCCCAUCUUCUUUCUCGCAGAAUUAAAAAAGAGGGGCAUCAAUACUAUGGAUAUUUCAAGUCUCCAGAGAGCUCUGCUUCGAAGGAAAGAGACAGCAGAGCGCCUGCAGCAGAACCAAAGCUUCAGCUCACUGAAUUCUCUGCUUUUUCCUCCCACUUCUACAAAACCACCCUUCAGACCACCAUUGCUCCAGCCAUGGAAGCAAUGUAGUGAAGGCCCAUGAGUCCACGUGGGAGCUCAGGCAGGGAGGAGGAGGAGGAGACCCAAGUGGCUGCUUUCUCAGUGCUGAGGAUGAUGUGCCCUGCUGCCAUGUGCCAACACCUGCACUGGGCUCCUCCGUCUCCCAUGGGGGUCUCAGCACUGUGAAUCACCACAGCCAUCCCUGCACCACAUCCUCCAGACAGAGCCACGCUGCAGCUCAGGGCAUUCCAUGAAGAAAUUGCUUUCUCAUGACUAAAUGUCAGCAUAGAGAAUGAAUGAAGAAAGACCACAAAUUUACUUAAAAUCUGCAACCGACUCCUCAGCGCAGAGGAAAGACUGGCAUCAGUGUCAUGUCCUGAAGCAGUGUCAUGUCCUGAAGCAGAUGCAGGAAGAACAAUUACUUGUGUUCACAGUAUCCUUAAGGUUGGAAAAGACCACCAGCAUCAUCUAACCCAACCGUGUAGGGGCAGUCUGCUCAGACACAUCUCUUGUCUAAGAGCUUCCAACUUACUGCAGUUUCCUUAUCCUCGUGCCUAAGGGACAGCACCAGGGACACCAAGGCACACAGUCCUUGUAGGCAUGGCUGGCUGCCAGCCACCCUUGUUCUCUGGUUAAUAGAGGAGCACAUGGAACCGUUGUAGGUAACAUGACCACUGCACAAUCCCGUCAUAGCCAGAAAUGUUUCAGCUGCAUCACUGCUAUAUAUUUUCUUUCCUGCAGCAUCUUAUUUGCCCUUGGUUGUAAGAGGACUGAGCUGAUGUUAGCAUUGUUUUCAAUUCUUCAGCAAAAAUAUUGGUGUUUUUCUUAAGAAAAAGGCAUGAGUGGACGAUGUAGUUUUGACUGAUCUGAUAAUAAGUAUAGGAGAAAGCACUCGGUGUGGUUGCAUUGCCCUUUUGUCCUGGGCUGCAGAUGGUCAGUGAAGCUGUGCUCACCCCUCCCAGGUGCUAACACUCAGCCUCUGCUGGGCAGAUGAAGCACAGCUGGGUAAUGAGCAGGUCCUGAUGGGCAGUGUUUGUUGGCCUGUGAACCUACCUUGCCUAUUUAGGGACCUGACCCAAACCUGGGAGCUCAGAAACGUGGUGCUCUCAGCUGUAGCCAUUCCUCUUCUUUAAAUUCAGUAGGCGUGCCUUUGCCACCAGCAGCAUCCUUGGAUUCCAGGCACCAUUCACAUCCUGCUGUUUGGGAAAUGGUCAUUGCCACCAGUCUGGGAAGAAUGUAUUUCUGCCCUUCUGAUAACCCACCAGAGGUCCCCUGAGGGCUGGGAUUCACGUUGCUUUCUGCCCUGAGGCUGUAAGAAACAGCAGUUUGGUGAUUUCCUUGGCUCUGUGUUGCUUGCCACUGGACCAGCUGGCACUGGAUGAAAGAGAGUGGCUGCACAUCUUCCUGCUCCUGGUGGUUGGGACUGUUAAAAGUCAGCCCUGUGCCACGGGUUGCCCCAGCUCUUCAGGUGAUAACCUGCUUCAGCAGCAGCUGUGCACAGAAUUUAUUGGGCUGCAGCUGGGAAUCUUUCUCUUUGAUCCAUCUCUGCUAUUAAACAGCUUGUGAUAACGCCACUGAGCUCACAUCGAGGAGGGGAAGCCGAGCAACCUCAAUAUUGGAGCUGAGCAGCAGUGGGGUGCCCAUCUUAAAGCUGCAUCACCUCACUGUCUUCAAAAGCAAAGGAGCUCCUUUUAUAGCAGCGAGCUGCUCUCCAGGAAUGAUUAAAGUCUCGUAAACGAGCACCUUCCUCAUCACAGAGCUGUCUGCUGACGGGGUGCCAAGUACAACAAGCCCAAUCCAAAGCAUCAUCCCCUCCAUGGGGCUAAUUGUUGUUGCCUUGUCUCUUGAACAAGAAGAGUGGUAAGGGAAAGCAGAGCCUGGAGACACACGCACAUCCCUGUACAGAAAUAACCCCUGAAAUAGAACUGACAAGCAAUUGAGGAGUCGGCCUGUGGGCUGCAGACAAAGCACAGAGCAAAGGAGAUAACCGGCAGUGAGCACUGGGAAAUAAUGCCCUAAAUUCCCUCUGAGCCCAUUCAUCACCGUGGCUUCGGCGAUCAUCUCAGCAACAAAUUCCCCUAUCAUCCAGCUGGAAUUCGAUGUUAAUGACCUGUCUGUUAUUUCAGGGGGAGAUGGACUGGAACCGGUGGGUAAUUGGUAGGAAAAAUCGCCGGGUACAGCAAAGAGCUGAUGCUACUGGAGUCGUUACACCACGAGAGAGGGAGAUUAGGGAGCUCUGCUUACCACAAGGGGCUUAUUCAUCCUGAAUAAAUGCGUUAGCUGCCCAGAGCUGUCCUCUUAUGCCCUUGUUCCUGUCUGGUGGCAUCUCCCCACCACAGCUUUUCCCAGCAAACAGCAGAGAUGCAGCCCAGAAGAAGCUGCUAGAAUCAUAGAACACCCAGAGCUGGAAGGGACCCAUAAGGAUCAUCGAGUCCAACUGCUGCUGUUGAGACAAUCACAGUAAGGAAUAACCUGCUCUCUCCAAGCUCACACUGAUGUAUGCGUUUAUUCUGGAGUUCUCUCAGGAAAGACCAUAAUUACUCUAAUUUCUUAAUUACCGAAAUUAUUCAGAAUGACUCUGCAAACACCUCUGCCCUGCAACGUUUUGCACGAGCAGCCUCCCAGAUUGCAGCAGCGUUAGGAUUUGGGUUUGUUCCUCUGCUGGAAGGAUUUGCUGCGUUCAUUGCCAUUUCUCCUUGCCAUCACGUUAGCGGGGCAGCCUGCAGCCCUCACCAAAAAUAGGAUAACUGGAGAGCAUCAGGGGAGAGCUAGAAGCAAGUCCAGAGGUAAAGCCUUGGCUCUGUUGCAAAGGAUAGCUUUGCUGGGACUUGAUGUCUGUGCUUUUUCUCAACAGUUUCUCAUUCCCAUCUUGCUAACGGGACCAGCACCAGUCAUGUUUCGGUGAGCACACCUGCUUUAUAAAUUAGCUCCCAGGAGUAUUUGCAAAAACAGAGCUGAACUGCAUGGCCACGGGACUGGGUUUGCUGCAGAAAUACCAGCACGUAUUCAUAAUAAAGCAGCUGCACGCUUUGCCCAGCUCUGUCUGUAACUUCUCGUCAUGUCCUGUACCUUUCUGGGCAGAAAGAAUGGGUGGUAGUGGUGGGAAAAUUGCAAAAUCCUCCUUGGCUAGAUGAAGCAAUUAUUUUUGAUGCAGAUGGGGCUGCUUUUAACCCUACGUAUUCCAAACAUCUCUGUAUAACCCUAUGGGUUCUCCACCGUUGUAGGCAGUGAUGGAGAAGGAAAAAAAUGGGUGAGUAGGAUUUAACACCCAGCCAGAACUGAACUGUACAACACCCGACUGCAGAAGGGUUGGUUCUAUGCCCUUUAUGCACAGUAGGCACCGCUGCUGCCUGUCCCCAGCAUGGCACGAGUUGGGGACCAUGAGUGGUGAGGACCUCUUGUGGUGCCUCUCCCUGAGCUGCAGGCACAAAGGUUGGAUUUCUUCCCUAUGGCUGCGUGAAGAGCUGCUGACUGCUCCACCAGGAACUGAGGCAAUAAUCCCAGCUUGUUGUUCUCCUUCUCAUGGGAGACUUCUUGUGCAAAAGAAGCAUCAGUAGAAUGAAUCAAACGCUGCGGUAGUGGCCCCAUUCCCACGUGCUCUGUGUGCUCUUCCUCUCGACUCACCGGUGAGGAGGCGGUAUCAUGGGGAGGCUGUUCUGAAAAUGCUUUUAAUUGAUUUAAUUCAUAGCUGUGUUGGAGCAGGAAGGUGUUCCUUCCUUGUGCCCGGGAAUGGCAGAAUGUCCUCCAGCUGCCCCCAGAGAUGCAGCGCUGUGCCUGGGUAGCACUGUCUUGCUGCUGGCCAUCCAUGCCAAGCCUGGGAAUGAAAGCUUUGGCAACAGCCUGGACCAAGCUCUGGUAUCUUCCUUAUCGAGAAGCAUGCUGAUUACUGCAGACAAAUUGGAGAUGAACUUGCCUCUAGAGCCCAACGUGUUUGUGAAAUGAAUUGCAGUUACAUGGGGAUUUAUUAUUUCUGCAAAAGAGGCUUUCUUAUCAUGAUUUUUCCUUCCAUCUUGGACUCAUCGCUACCAGACCAGGAACCUUCAAACAGAUGUGUUUGGAGCCUUGAUGUGGGCUCACAGUGGCUGGGAAUCUUCUUGUUAUUCCUACGAAAAACAGACUCCAGCUGGAGGGGAAGAAGAGCCUCCAGCAUUAGAGAUGACCUAAACAGCACAUGUUGCAAAUGAGAUGGGAAGUGGAGAACUGCUUGAAACAUCUCUGGCCCUUUCAGCAGAACUGUUUUCCCUUUGCCUUCUCAAGGCUGAGCUGCAGACAUUGCAAGAAUGACCCCAGCAGACUGCUGCUGUUUCUGUUUUGCAUGUUCACAAGGCAGCUUCUGAAAUAAGUUUGCACACUGUUGAUCUUGCACUGGACAGCCUCACAUCAGGUGGCAGGGAAGCCCUUGCUCAUGCUGCCCUGACCCUGCUGCUCUUACUUCCCAUGCUGAUGCAUCAGUGCAUGAUGUGGCUGGAAAUGAGGUGGUGCAGGGUGGUCUCCUUGGGUUUUGCAGCUGAAAUAGGUUACUGAGCUCCUGAAGGCAUCCACCAGGAUUGCUAUGGCCUGGAACAGCCCUAGGAAAGAUGCUCUGCUUCAAGCUGGGGUUGUGCUGGUGGUGGGAGCUGGGGAUUUCAAAUCUUCCUACAGUUGGAUAUUUCAACCAAUGGCAUAAAUAAUGGAAAGCCUUCCAAAAGAAUGCCAUCCUAAGGGCUGUUCCCCUAAGAAGAAAUGCAGGUCAGGAAAUACAUUGGCCAUAUGAGUUUGUGAGUCCUUUCAAUUGUGAACAGUGCACUAAUCAAGGUUUGGCUAAUGGGUAUGCUGGGAUAUGCACACAGAUAUGCUCUUCUUUUGAGUCUUUCUCUUUACCUUUCAACCCCUGAAAUCAUCCAAGCUGCUAACACUCUGAGGAGGAUGAUGCAGCAAAAAUAAUAGGUUUAGCAAGAAGCAGAAAAAUGAGAUUAGCAUCUGUUUUUCUGGGAAAAAUAUCAACUUUUCCUGCUUAGAAAAUGAAUGGGUUGGAAACCAGCUUGUAAAACUCGAAGCCUGACUCAGGCACUGAUUUGUCACGGGGCUGUCACCUGCAGUCACUGUUAGAGAGGAGCCCUCAAUGUUCUGUCCAAAAGGAACGAUUGCUGUCUGAGUUAUUGAUGGAUUCGUAUGUGGGGAAGAGCAAAUCCUGGUCAAGCUGGAGGACUUUUGCACACAUUCAGCAGCGAGUGAGUAAAGUUAGUGGAAUACAGAACCAUCCCUGCUCGCUGCAGAGCAGCCCCCAAGGAGCACAGUGAUAAAUGAAUUGCAGAAAGCUUGGAGCUUCAACUCGGCCAGGGGAAAUAACGCUGUGUCUAUCUGAUCUCUGCAAACCUGGCUUUCCACUUAUGUGCCUGAUGAUAAAUCAGCAGUAAAUGUGCUUAGGUUGGCACGCCAAGUUUUUCCCUGGAUGCUGUUCUGUAGGCACGCACUUUCUUCACCACAAGAGUCCAGAUCUGGUGCAGAAACCACAAGCGUGGUACAGGCAGGCGGCAUCCCAUCCCAACACCGUUGCAUUGCCCUUGGCCUGCCAGCCAGAGCCAGCCCAGCACAGCCAUGAGAGAAGGAUGGCAGGCGCUCCAGGAGGACCUCUUCAAACUGCAGAGAAGGGCUGGAAGUAAAGCUGAAGUUGCGUGGCAGGAUGCAGGAGGCGGAGCAGUGCAUUGAGUUGCAUGACGCCAGGCAGCAGGAGGUGUGGGCUGCCCACUACCUGUUCCUGGACAGCAUGGCCAGGAGAUGGAGAUAAUCCCUCUCACCUCAUAGUGCACUGCUCUUCCACAUCAUUCCCCUGCUCCUACUCAUACCUCCUCAUGCCAUCCAACAUAUUUCGUCCCAAUCCUUUGCCUUCACACCCUUGAAACCCUUCCAGGCUGCUAUAGUGUCCCUUUCUCCAACUCACCUCUCCAAACCAAGCCAUACCCCCAGGCUCCAGUCCCAUCCCAUAAAUCAGUCUCUCCAAGGCCCUGACCGUAUUCUGAGAUUUCCAGGGGCUGUGCGGCUCCUCCUGGGCUCACAUCUCUUCUCCCUGCAACAAUAAAAGGCUGGAGACACGCAGCGGGGUGAGGCUCGGGUUUCUGGGCUCGUUUUAUAACUGGUGCUGGGGAUGCUUUGCGCGGAGCCCUCCAUGCGGUGAGGAAGCGGGGCAGGACAUGUCGAGCAGAUGGCAAUUCUGGACUGCAGAUGAGGGCUGAGUUAUGGCGCUCGCAGCACAUCUUUGAUACACGUCCAGCUUUUAUCAGAUGGUUCCACUCAGUGUUUGGCACAGCUGAUGUGAAGGGAAGGCCGAGGAGCAGACCUGCAGUGGGAGCAGCCCCCCAUCCCUAGGGCUGUCCCCCUCUGUGCGCUGAGCUGGGACUUCCCCUGCUUCUCCCACUCCUCCGGUACUGACACAGCUUUAUCCUGCAUACAAAACUGCUGAUAUGCUUAAAGCUCCCCUAGGCUGCACAGGCUCUUCUCCCUUUGCCACAUCAGCGCGUGUUGCAAGCAGCUGGGAGGAUGGAGAGCAUGUGAGCAUUUCUUGGAGCUAGAAGGCUCCGCUCCUCGGGUUUUGGCUUCAGAUGACCCACUCUUCUAAUACACUCUGCACUUAAUUCACUCUUGCCAGUGCAAAUGCUCUUAUUUAUGAGGUUGGUAAUCACUUUCUAUCAACACGCUCUGGAAGUCUGCUUCACCCACAGAACAUUCCUUCAAUAAAUCCUCCCCAUGAAUAUUCCCAGCCCAAGCUGAGCCCAACGCCUACUUGUGGUGUAGGAGAUGCUUUCAAAGGACUCUCACUGAGUUGGGUUGGCUUAAAGCACACCUCAAGCCUUGAUGCAAGUGGACCCAGGUAAGCUCACAAGAAGGAAACCCAAGCCUUUCCCAAACUCCUUGGAAACACUGAGUUUGGUGUCUUCUUCCUCCUUAACUUAAAAGCCAAGAAAUGUCUGUGCAGGAGAAUCAAUCACAUCACAAAGGAACCUUCUGGAUCCCAUGAAUGCCCAUUCUUUAAGCCUUAGAAUUUUACCCAUCCCCCUUUCAGGAGGGAAUGCAGAUAUGUUUUCCAUUGGAAAUAUCCCCAGGGUCUCAUGCCUCAUGCUGAGCAGCAAUCCCUGUGUCAAUUAAAAUGUGUUAUUCUGUUGAGCUCACCCUUGGGUCGAGCCAUAGGGCAGCAGAGGUCCAUGCCAGGACAGCGCCAAUGAACACAGAAUGGAGCAUCUUUAGCUCAGAGCUUUCUGCUCUGUAUCUUUCAGCUCCUUCAUGGACCAACCAGAGCCCAUAUUGAUGCCAUUUACUCAGCUGUCAAGUGGGUUUUUUAUCCUAAUGCUCCACGGUGGGGAAAUAGGAACCUGCAAUGAACUUGCUUCAAAUCGAGACAUAUUUAACUCGAAUAAACCAGCGGCCGGGCUGAAUAAACACUGCAGGCACUUCAGAAAGGAUGUUAAGUUGACAUAAGAUCUGUUGGGUGAGUUCAAGAAAUGGGAGAUUUGAUGCUGAAGUCAUAAAUCUGCUGGGUUAAAAGGGGGAUACUGCUGAGCUCUGCAUCUCAGUGAGAGACAAAGGCAGGAUGUUUGCUGUCCCAGUCUGUGGGCAGCAGGUUUCUGUCCUAUGGCAGCUGCUGAGGAGUGUGGGCUUCAUCUCCACCGCUCUCUUCAAAGCCGAGCAGGUUUUGCUGACAAAAGCUGGCACACGGACAUCAUGAAGAGCAAUGAAGAGCAGGGCUGCUGUGCCAGUGUUGCUGGUUCCAGCUGGGACAGCCCCAUGAGUUGCUGGGAGCUGAGGCAGCACUGAGCCCCUUGGCUCUCCGGAGGCACUGUGGCAGGGAAACAGCUCUCUGUGUCCUUUUCCAAAGCACAAGGAUAUGGGUGCAGCUGCAGAAACACGUAUUGCCCUCAGACUGUACUCUGCAUGGAGCACCCGCUGGUACCCCAUCUCUGAAGGCACACUUGGGAGCCUGAAACUGCAUUUGGCCCCAAUCUGAGUAGAGCAAAAUCGUGUGCAGUACUGAAGUCCCAUUUAAUUUCUUAGAGUUGUUGCAAUGCUCCUAGGGUUGGCACAACUCAGGCUGAGUGGAAAGGAAGGUAUGGAUGUGGCUACGGUUUCUGCCUCCAGCUCCAGCUCUCAGGUCUUGAGGAAGAAGGUUAUGCUUCCUCUGUCCAGUGUGAUGCAUCUGGGGCUGCUCUGAGCAGAACACGCGCCACGUCCCUGUGUGUUCGCUGCCGGAGGGACUCAGUGGGUCAAGGGGUGAGAGCUUACCCCAGCCUGAGCUGAAGGAUCGCAGAUGUUUCAUAUUUCUGCUCCAAAGAGAGGGAGAGAGAAGCUGCAGAGAAGACUGCAAUAUUUUUUUUCAAUACAUUCCAUAUGUUUCCUCCAUAAGUCAUGAUUAAAAAGUGGUGCUGGUCCAAAUAGAAAUAAGCCUGCAGGCUUUUCUGCUGCUUUUGGAGGAAGAAGCAGACUCAGUCUGAUUCACCCCUAAGGGGAGAAGGGCUCUGAGCUGACUUGAGAACACGUUUCCAUUGGACUUGUCAUCCACGCUGUCCCUGCUCCCAGCAUUGCUGUUGUCUUGGCAAGAAGCACUUCUCAGCCCUGGCUCCAGCUUCCUGGUGGAAUACACCAAAUACUUGUCCCCAGGUGCCUGACAUCAAUGCAGGGUGCACAACCCAUUGUUACGGGACCAGAACACACAGGGACUGCAAAUGACUUAUUUCCUUGCUACCAUUUCCACUCUGCUCGCUGAGGUCCAAACACUGCAGAAAAAAAUGGCAGGUUCGGAGGGAGGAGGAAAACCCAGCACCCACGAGGGGAAGGAAUUUGCUCUCUCCAAAAGGCCACGCUUGGUAUAAUUAUGCCAGCCAAACGUGCACAGAAGCCUUCAGCAAUUCCUGUGGUAAUCGUUUCAUAUGUGUGGGAUUUUUUAGGCUGGAGCAUAAUUACGGCUAAUUGCUGUUUGAUUUUGUUCCUGUUUAUAUAGCCAGUAAGGGAGUCGUUGAAAUGUCUUUACUGAAAGACUUUCUCCCUUCCUUUUCCUUCUCUUUUUCUUAAAUCAUCCUGGAAAAGAAAAGAAGGGAUCGUGUUGCAACACGGUGAGUUGUGAAUGGCCAUCAGCUGUCCAACAUCUCACAGCAAAGAGCCACGUUCAGGACUGAUGUUUUCCCAGCACUGGGAACUGAUGGUGCGCUGAUUUGCAGAACUAACGAGGACUUGCAAAGAUCUUGGCUGUUGGUUAAUGAAACCCUCCUGGGCAGGAGGCUGAGGCUGAAUUUAUCUGGGGAGAUGGGAGGAUCUGGACUGCUUCUUGCAGUCUGUUCACUAGAGCCCACGGAGAGAGAAGUGGAGCUGGUGGGGCUCAGCACAGCUCCACCACCAGGAGCUCCUCUUGGCAUGGCCAUUGCCUUUGUCAUGCCUGGUUAUCUUUUCUCAGCCCUGGUUCUUAACAUAGUUGUCCCACAGCAUGACUCAAUGGGAAUUAGGCAUCAAGUUUGCUCUGAAUGUUGGGAGUUUCCAUGUUCAGAUGGCCUGCAGUGAAGCCAGAAGCCAGAUGAUCCCUACAUCGACCCAUCCAAACAGACCUAUAUGUCUUUGAGGCUUUACUUUUCUUUUGGAAAAUUGGCUGUAUGUUUGGGUGCUUGCGCUCACGUUGCCUUUAAACGCAUCCUACCUCACUUGAAUGCAAUGUUCCUCCAGAUGGAGGAGAGUCAGCAGCUCACGGAGGCUGUGAUAUUCUCAUUCCUGAGCACUGCAUCCUUCAGAGGGGACCGAGAACACACGAAAACUCUCUUGGCUGUGGUCAGCCCUCAGCAGCUGCCCCAGCCCCGUGCCAGACACACGCUGGAUUAGAGGGUGCAGGGUGCUGUUGCUAUGGGACAAGGUGGAGGGAGCAGGCAGGUGCCACUCGUAGCCCUCUGCUAUGGAGAAUGCAGAUCUUGUUUGCUCUGCUUUUUUUUUCUUCUUCUUUUUUUCCAUUUUAAUGCUCUUUCUAUCUGGCUUCUGCCUCUGCUCCAGGAAGCCAAAUUAGCUCAUGGUCUGAGGCUCCAGCACUGAAUAUAAGCAGAAGCAAGCUGACAUCAGCUUGAAAUAGAAGCAGUAAUAGAGCUGUUUACUGUCAUGUUUCACUUUGACGAUUCAAAGGAGCAGGAAACAAUCCCAGGGCAUUGGGCACUCACACAGCCACCAAAAGCGCAUCCCUGAACCCAACUGAAUCCAUCACAAAGGCUCGGGAGCAGCAAAGUGGGGGGAGUUUUAGUGCAAGCGUGCCCAGAACACUUUAAAAUCCAUCAGAUUCUUUGCCCAAACACCAUCUCUGUGUGCUCUGAACCAACAGAGCCAGGAAUCUGGUAAACCAAGCACUUUGGCUGUGCCUGGGCUGUAGCCACACAAGUGUAAGACAUCACCUACAUCCUUCACAUGGUGUUAAUUAACAGCUAUGUAUGGGGCUGUGCUUCUCAGCCUGACCGAAAGCUGGAAGCCCAAGUCUCGAAUUCUCCCGGCCAGGAUGCAGCAUUUGCUCAGGGAAUACCAAAGAAAGAUGGAAAAGCAGCCCCACAGCUGCCUGCUUGUGCCUUGGGCAGAGCCCUUGUGGCUGCUGGUUGUCUCUGGAAGCUGCUGCCUCCCCCUGGCACUGCACUCUGCAUGGUAUGGAGUGUAUUUUUAACUAGGAAGAUAAUGAGACAGUGGCAGCUCCUCCCUGCAAUUCUGUGUUUGGAAAAUUUCAGCCACGGUGCUUGCAGGUUAAAUAGCAGGCAGAAGGAGAAUGAGCUCUUGAUUAAAAUAUGUCUAGACAGCCUUCUGUGUUUUUAAGUCCUAAUUUAGAGGACCGAGGUAGGAAGGGAUUUACAUCAUUUCCAACAUCUGACCCGUUGUUUCUGAUGGUGGUAAGACAGCUGGCACAGUCAGCCCUCUCUUUUACCUGCAGUCUCAGGACAUUCAGUGACUGCAGCCACGUGUGUGGCUAUGGAAGAACUCUUCUUUUGUGACAACAGGAAAUACUCAUUUCUAAUGGUCGCAGAGCAAGUGAGACCCAUAUGAACGAUAUUAAGUUUGGCGUUCCAAGCCAUCUCAUGACUUUGAAGGCUUAGUCUAGGCCUUGGGCACACAUAUACUCCACUGCAAUUAUCACUGGCACUUGGCUUGAUUUGGAAAUCAAGCUCCAUAAGAGUCCUGUCACUAAAAGCUGUCUCUGAGCCUGCAGUUUCCAACCACCACCAACACAGCUCUGACAAUCAGCUCCAGUGCUUUCAGCAUUUGCACCACUCAGCCAUGCAUUUGGCUCCAAGGGCUCAAAGCGACGCGAGCUCACUGUCAGACGCAGUGUGAUGGAAGGGCUCUACAGCUGUUGCCCUCACAUUUGAUAGCCAGUGUUGGCUUUGUUGGGAAAAGAGGAACUGAAACUCUUCAGACUCUACCAAAAACAAGAAGCGACAUUUGGGUGUAUUUUGAAGAAAUACAGAGAAAAGAGGUACUGGACUGUUUGGGCACCAAAUUGCUUCUGCCAAAAUGUAUAUGUCCUGUGGCAGCAGAUUGCAGUGCCACGAGGCAGGGAGCUGCUGGGCAGAGCUGUGUGCUGGACCACGGGCAGCAGGUUUCCACAGGGCUGCUUGGAAGGGCUCUGGGGAACCGAAGCAAGGAGAAGGAAGGGAGACACCAACCGAGUAAAGAUUGACUCAGAAUGAACCCCCAGAAGGGCUCUAAGUGCAACACUGCAGGACCUUCUUGACCCUUUGCAAUUGUUGCCGUGACCAGAUGCAUUGAAAAGGUGACAGGGUAAGAAAAGUGAAGACUUUGGAUUUGAAAUGAUUUGGAUUCCGUUAGCUUCAGUGCCUCCUUCUUCAGAAGGACUCCAUCCUCUGAGUGUGUAAGCAGGAUCAGGGUGAGGAUGGCACUGUGCAUCUGGAAUAGCACUUCACAGUGGUUCUGUGGGGGCGGUGGGACUUGGAAACUUAAUGAGAAACACAAGCUUGCAGAAAGGGGGUGGGAAACCGGGUUAGAGAUACAGCAGGGCGGUUUGCAUUCAGAUCGCGGGAACUGAGUAAGUUUCUGAGCUAGAGAUGUUGUCAGCUCCUUAAUGACUUAUCCAUCCAUCGCCCAUUACGUUGGGUCCGAUGCAUUUAAGAUGUGAGUCACUGCUCCAACCCUCACAGGGUGACAGGACCCGGGGGAGCACAUGAGAGGUGCUCAUUCUGUGGGUGGCUGCUCUGAGCUCUGUCUGUGUCAUCACAACGGGAUCAUUCUAAACCAACAGAACCCCAGUGUGUUGCUACGGGCAGGGCAGCCCAGGCCAUUAGGCAGGGCUUUAUUUUUGGAUCUGGGUCUUGCUUUCAAGCUUUCAGCAUCCUACACUUCUUUCAGCUGGGGAUGGUCCCAUUUCCAAGAGGGGAGCUCAUUUGAGAGGCAGACAGUCUUCCCAUAGCCAUUGCCACUUGGCUGUCUGCAUACUUCAGCCCAUCACUCUCCCUGCUCCCAGUGAGCAUCUCUGUCAUCUGAAAGCUCAGAAAUCAAACUUUGAACUGAAUAAAAGCCCCUCCCCCUCCAACAUUGACUGAAAUACUCUUUAAAAACAAAUCCUUAUAUAUUCUAAACUCAAAAACAUCUGGGUUUCCAAGCCCCAGGAAAUUACAGCUCCCAUUCUGGAAAUAAAAUACAUGUUUGUCCAUAGAUUGCAUUAAUUAAACCCCAUAAUAUGGAAAGAAGCCGGUAAAAUUCUUUCCUGAUGGCUGGCAGAUUUGCAUAGCAAUUUCUCAUAUUGCUCAUUGCAAUUAUUAUUCUUAUUUAAAGGGUGACGUUUUCCUCCAUGUCAGUGCAGGAUAGGAAGAUCAAGAUCUCUCUCAGUGACCAAGGGAGAAGAGCUUUUGGUCCACGUGCGUGUCUUGCAGUGGGGGAUCCCAAAUGAAGCCCCGAGUCCUGCAGCUCCUGGAAAUGCCACAUCAGAAACAUUCCUGCUACUGGGAAAAACACUUUGAAGACCGGGAAAACUGCAGACUUCAGUUGUUCUUUGUGGCUUCUGCAAUUUUUUCCUGGUGAGGUACAUUGCACGGAAAACCGUCGUGCCCGAUGUGGUCAGCAUUCUUAUUUACCAUAAGCAGAGCAGUUACACAUUGUUAAAUUAUUAUUAGCUUAGCUACCACUGGGAGGGUUGCCUCAGCCCUGCCAGCAGGGCUGAAACAAAUACCCACUGUUGCACACAGUCAACCAGCAAUGAGUUGCAUGGAUGCCCAGAACGUGUCUUGCUGCAGAGCUGUCCCCCCAGGCAGCAGCCCUUGAGGAACACAGGCUGAGCUGGGAUCUCUUGCAAUGGGAUGGGUUGAACGUGUGGAUGCUUUGGAGCUGAAUCUGAAUGUUCUCAGUGUGAGCCUUCGUUCACCCGUUGUGUCAGCCCAUCCAAAGCUGAAGAAUUCACUGCCAAAGGAAAUCUGGAGCUAAAUUCUCAAUUCCAAGCUCUGACGCUGGCAAUAUUUGCACCAAGAAACCUGACAAAAUUCAGGAAGUUUUUUAUGGCCGAUUCUUUCUGCCUGGAUAGAGCUCAUGCCAACAACAAUAUCAGCUCUGUGAAAGAAUUUUAUGGUGUUUUGCUGUGCCUGUGCCAUGGGAAAAAGGGGCAAGGAUGGACUUUACGGGGUGUUUGUAGAAGGACGAAGCACAUCGUCCUCACCCAAAGGGCAGCCAUCAAAGCAAAGCUGUGGCAGCAGGCAGUUCUUCUGCUCAGCCUGAACGUGCAGGGAGCAUCCCAUGGCUGGGAGGUGACUGCAGCCUCCACAGCACUGCUGUAGGCAGACAGCUGAGACGUGGCAUUCUGCACAAACCAGUGGCUGACUCCAGGCUGGGCCGCGUCCCCCAUCCCAGCACCUCAACACUGACCCCCCCAGGAUUGCUCAGCAAUUAACUGUGUGCUCCAUGGGUGAAAUGCGUGAAGUCUUGUGACAGCCACCUCGUCCCACAAGGCAGGGGGUGCUGAGAAAGACAAAACAACCCGCUCCCUCUCCUCUCUCAUUAAAGCAAAUGUCAUCGGCUGUGAUCAGCCUCUGUGUACAUGCACACAGCCAGCAGGAGAAAAUCAAACAUCAAAAGGGAAAGAAAAGAAAAAGAGACCCGAACAGGAUAUUGACAUCAUUGGGAGCUCUGCGAAUGGAGAUGAAAUGUAAAAUGAAGUUGCAAUCUGGCUGAUAGAAGUUGAGGACACGUUAACCCUUGGGCAGACCCGCUGCUUGCAGGGGUGGGAGGAGAGCUGCUUCCAUGGGCACCUGGGCUGCGAUUUGCUCUGGAAUGUGGGAGGAAUCUGACACCCAAAUUGCUUGGGAAGUUGGACACGUCCUGCCAUGGGCUGCUCGGGAAUUGCCAGUUCUCAUUAAUCUCUGCUGUGGAUCUGACAAGUCAGCUGGAGGGAAAUGGUUCAUUUCAUUUUCUUCUCAUCGAGAUUUUCCCACCGCUCUUUCCCUCCCCGUCUGUCCCACUGAUGAGGCAAGAAAAGGAUGACAAAGCAGAAAGCGAGGGAAGAUGCAGGGUGAACGUUUCCGCCGGGAUGUUUAAUGAUGAGAAAGGAAAGAAAGCACCAAAAGAAGUUCCUGACGGAAAAUUCCUCGCAGCUUUCAUGUCACAGCCCCUGACCUUCAGCUGCCCAUAAACACCCUGCAGCCACCCCCAGCACGUUCCCAGCAGCCCGGUGGGGCUCUGCAUUGAGCCACCCUUCCACCAGCAAAGCUCAGACUGGGAAUUCAAACCCCAAAUCCGGCUGUGGGGUGCCAGCAGCCAAACACAGCCUGGUUCAGCACCCCGUGCUCUGGUACCCCAAGGGGCCAUCAUUCACCACCACAUGUGAUGUGUGGUGUGGGCACACACCUUCAGAAACCCUCAAAACCAAAUAAGAUAUCACUGUCGAUAGGAGUUCUGUGAAUAGAGAUGAGCCUCGUGAGACAUUCCGUGGAAGGUGGCAAGCAUUGGAUGAGUAACAUUUCCCCAUAGUGCAUUAAUCAACGCCUGCUUGGCCAAGCAGCAGUCAGUGUGAGAGGAGGACGAGUUGGGCUCCCAGGCACACGGGGAACUGCUGAGACUCAGAUUGCACACAGCAGCACCACAGUGACAAAGCUGCCUUGGUUCAGCACCCAGGGGCACUGCCACAAUCCCAGCUCAGAGAUGGGAUGGGAGGUAUGGUGUGCAACUCGUUGCUGGUUCCAUGAGAGCUUCUCCAUGGCGCUCACACAGGGACAUAAAAUGUGAGGGGUGGCCUCUGUCCUCCUGGCACCGUGGUUCCCUGAGUGCAGCUCCCUUCCUUGAGCAGGAUCAGAGCAGGGCUUCGGAGGAUCCUACGCAGAGAGCAUCCUCCAAGGACGUGUUUUCAAAGGCUCUCCAUCUCCCAAAGGCUGAAUAAUCUCAAGAAAGGGCCCAGGAAGAAGUGAAAUCCUCUCCAGAACGGUCAUUUGCAAGAGUGUGUUUCCGUAACCUUGCAUUGUUACAGCAUCACAAGGAUUUGUCUCCUCUUCUGGCUUCAGCACACAUGUUCCUGGCUCCCAUGGAGGCACUGUGGACAGCCCAUGCCAUACAACGUGCCAGAAACAUGACCUCCCCAUGAACUUCGGGCCAUAUUUUCAAGUCUGCGCCCAGCUCCUUGCAGGCAGGGCUGUCUGGCCAGUGCAUUCUGGCCCUUUUGCAUGGAAAAUGAGCUGUGUCAGCCUUCGUGGCCCACUGGCUUGCCAGCUGCGUCCCUAACAGCACUUUGCAGCCUCCUCCCUCCGUGCUCAACAUGUUGCCUUCACCUGGCACAUGGGACAGCAACGAGGGGACUGUGAGCUUGUCCUCGGUGGCUGGGGCCCAGCUGGCCACCCCCAUCUCCCCACUGCAGCCACCGCACGCUCCUCGAUGCAGCAGAACUCAAUGUACAGCCCUUUUAUUUUUCCUCCUUGGUUUUCCUGUUCCCAGAACAGUUGAAUAUUUUACUUGCAUCGUGCCCCAGUUCCCCAGUUUCCAGCAGGCAGAACAGGGUGAUCUGUACCCAUCUCUUGCAGCAGCUGGUGCUUGUUCCCCUGGCAAAACUUCACUUUGGAGCUGAACCCAACAAUGCUGCUGACUCCAACUGAUUCUUUCUCCCCCAGCCUAAGGCACUUUAUGAUGAUAUUAAUAACCAGACACUGAGGUUCAGCACUAAGGAUUUCUUAAGCUUGCUGCUGGGGCUGUGAUUGAGCUUUGUAGCCAUCUCUGCUUCAUCCCAUGAUCCAUCAGGGUUGGUGGGGACACCCAGACCUCUUUUGGGAAGUCCCUCCACAGCUCCUCCCUCCCAUAGCACCCAUGGGGUCAGGGGCAGACCGGGUGCUCCCAGACCUCUUUCCUGUUCUGCCCUUAAUACAUCAAAGGGAGAUCUCUUGUUCGAUGGUUCUCUAUUAACCCUAUUCAUGAGUCUUUUAAUUAGUGUUGCCUUCUGCUAAGUAAUCGCUUCAGCCUUAGCUCCUCUGGGGCAAUGCAGAGCUGCAACAGGGCACUGCAGGAGCUGCAUGCUGCUGUUCUGCUUUCUGGACCUGCUCCUGCUGGCAACUAUGCCAUUCCUUUUGCACAGACCGCACAGUGCCAGAGCAGCCCACUAAAACUUGCAAAGAAAAGCAGAAAGAAGCAUCUGAAACCCCACCAGGAGCUGCGGCAGGUAGAGUUCUAUCCUUACAUCUGGGAAACCUCCAGCUCAGCUCAAUCCUGCUGAUGCACUGCUAAGGGGAGCUUUGUAGUGGCCCUAUUCAAAGCACUCAGCUCUGGGGGCAUGUUUCCCCCAGCACCCAGGAGCAAUGUUUCCUUUGUUAAUUCAGGGUCCCCACCAAUCUGCAUCACCCCAUGCCUGGAGGCAGAGCUGCCAUGGCUGCCUUUUAUCCCCUGCAUCCUCCGGCAGAGCUCACAAAGUGGUACUUUGUACCAGAGCAAGAAACAAGAGACGUGAGCUGUAAUACAGGAGAGAGAGAAAAAAAAACCCUCAUCUCACCCCUUGUGUUUUUCCUGGAAAUGUCACUGCCCUUAAUGCAUCAAAUAAUUAGAAUCACUUCUCCCCUUUUGUUUGCCUUGGCCCUCACUGCUCGCAUUGAGUGGGCCAACAUAAACCUGUGCGCACCACAGGAAUUUUGGGCACAGCCCAUUCUGCAGUGCUGGGUGCAGGGGGAGAAGUGGCUGCAGGAGCUUUGGUUCUGCUCCAUAUGUCUCUGCUGCUGUGGGCACUGCUGGGCACGGAGCUCCCGUAGAGAGGACCUCACUGCAACGCUAGUGCUCAACCAAGUGCUGGUCCCUAUGGAAAUCCACUGUCCUGGAGAGAAGCAGCAGCAGCUGAUGCCCAUUUAAUGCCAAAAUUGCAGAUUUGUGUUUGACCUGAGUGGUGGGUGUGAGCGUGAUGCUGGCGGGACAGAUGGGUGGAUAGCUCUCUGAAGUCCCAGUGGGAUGUUACGCUUGUUGCUCUGUAGUUGUAGCCUUCUCCUCUGGGUGCUGGGGAGUGCUCCGAGGUGACGUGGGAGAACAUAUCCCUUGUGAAUGCUGGAAAGCUGUGCUGGGUGAGGUGGCAUUGCACCACUAAUCCACGCACAGAGGAGCCCAGCACCCCCUCAGCACCCCUUACAGACACAGAUGGACACAGCCAGCAUCACAGCCCAGCUGGCUGCCUGCCCCCAGCACCGCUCCCAUGGGCUGCAUGUAUGUCAAUGGGUUAUUAAAGAAACGGAUGGGGGAUUAGCUGUGCUGUAGGUAGAGACCCCAUUCAGAUUUGCUAAGUUUCAGCAAGUAUGUUUUCAAUAAUUGGCUGGUAUUUGUAAGAAAUGAAUAAAACCUAGGCUACUAAAGUUGGUCCUUCUCUUAUUAUAAGGCAUUUAUUGCAUGCUUAGAAGCAUAUGUCUUCAAUAUCUGAAGCAAAGGAAAGUAAUACGUAAGGAUCCCUUCUUAAACACAAAUAUAUGCAGCCAUAAUCACAAUUAUUAGCCACCAUGAAAUAGCUAACAAACUGAAGAAGCCCCCUCAGCAGCAGCUUUACAACUGGGGGUGCAUAAGAAAUAAAGACAAAGGCGAGAAUUGCCCUCUUAGCUGUGCGAGACUCCACAAGGCAGAGGAAGGAUCAGCUCUGCUGAGGAGUGUUGGCAUCUCGGAGAAGGUUCACGGAUGAAGCCAAUGGAGAAGGGUGUGCAGGAGCGGGGCAGGGAAUUGGGAAGCAGCGCUGCUGCUGGUGGUUGUAUCCUUCUGAAGAAAGAACACUGGAAAACCAAAGCUACCUGUCACUGCUGCUGUUAUCGCAGAGGUAUUUGGGAGAGGGUGAGCGAAUGUUUCUGCAGAACUGCGUGCUGAUUUAUUGGUACGGAGGGAGGUGCAGCGGGGAAACCACUGUGCGGAUCAUUGGCGAGGAGGGGCACGUGGUUCUCCAAAGAUUUUUGUCUGAAAACGCAAUCAGCUGAAGUCAGCGCCGCGCUGAGGGUCUGAGCAGAGCUCAGUGCUGCUCAAGGAGGCACUUUCAUGUAAGAGGGAAGAAAUGGGCCCUGGCUCUGUGUAUAUCCCUGUUGGUCUUCUGAACACUUCGCGUUGCGUCUUCCUCCUCACUGCACCGCCCUGAAGCACAUACAGAAAAUGAUUGCUGAAAACGGGGCGUCCGCGAGUCACAAUGAGCGCAAUUAAACCAUGGAACGGAUUCCCCAGGGAUCUCACGCAUCCUUGGCUGCUUGGAGGAGCCUCAGGGCGGGCUGCAGCAGCUCCUUCCCUUUGGUGGAGCAGCGCUGUUCCUCCUGGGAUUUGCUCCAAACGGACAGCUCUGCUCUGCUCCAGCUGCUCGGUGGGUUUCUCUCCAGCACGUUGCUGGUUUGCACAUCGUUUCAAGCCUGCAGCUGUUAUCGGGCUGUUGGUUGGAGCGUUAUUCACUUCCAAUCCCUGCCUCAUUGCAGGGGGAGACCAUCCCUGGAGAUCCUCCCAUCUCCCAUCUCCAGGGCGCCGAUCCUCAGCCACUCUGAGCGCAAUGCAGACACCACACAGCUCAGCAGGUUUCAGUGCCUCUGCCACCAACUGCGACUCAAAUCCAAAGCGAUUUGGCUUUGUUUUGUUUCUAAGUUGCUGCUCGAGCUUUCUUGGCUCACAGGCAGAUUUUCUCUUCCAAGGUUUCAGUGGUGGAGGGCUGUUUCUCUAAUCCCCAAUAGUUUGAGAUUAUCUCCAGCCAACAAUUAAUCAGAAUCAGAAUUUUGCACUGCUUGCCUGUGCUGCCGCAUUGAGUGCAUGUAAAACCCUCUUUCCUCUGAAGAAAAGCAUGUUCUACUUUCCUAUGUUGCCUCCGGUCUCUUUAGCUGUCAGGGCACUCGGCAUCACACCAGGAUGCUGAAUAGGCCAAGGGAUGCCUUAAACAUACCACUCAAACAGGCAGAAAGUGGAUUCAGGAAGGCUCAACACGAGCUGAAAGCUCACUGUUUAGGAAGCAUCUCUGCUGGGGUGAGGGUUGGCUCUUAUGGGUUUGUGUUGCGGACUCAGCACUUGGGCAGCUUUGUUUUGGUGCAUGGAAUGCUCAGAGGCGUUCUCUGAGCGCUGUGUUUGGGUAAUAGCCAAAAAUGAACCCAGUUGGCUAAUGGAAAUGCAUCCUUCCUCCUGUGCUGGGACUGCGUUGCUCUGAGUGCGUUGGAAACAGCACCAGAAGUGAUGUCUGACUGCUGCAGAUCCCAAACCCUCAGUCAGGCACUGCUCUGUGGAUGAGCAAGAUGGGCACAGCUGGAUCUGCUCCUCAAGGAUCCGCUGCAGGUGUGUGACUGGGGAAUUUUUCCCAACCACUCAACCUUCUGACAGGGCUUCCAUCAGCUGGAGCUGCCUCUCCCUUCCAGCAUCUCUUCAGGCUGAAAAGAAAUCAUAUUUCCUGAAGCAACACCAAACAGGGAAGUGGUGCUGCUUUGUCAUGUCCAAUUUCAAGUAGCUCUUCUCCUUAAGCUGCUCACAAACAAGAGAGGAGGUUGUAACACACAGCUUCUUUCAGACACGAUUCUCUCCUGCUGAGCCCUGAUCUCUUGCUGUCUGCAGCUCUGUGCUCUAUAGAUGGCACACGAUGCCAGCUCUGCCUGGCAGCCACAAGCUGAUGGGAUUUGUAUUUGUCCCAUCACCCCAUGAGCUGUCACAGGGGUGGAUCCCACUCCCUCCUGGCACUUGCUGUCUGCUGAGGACUCCCGUGUUAUCACUGCUGUCAACUUCCAAGCUGCGUUUUAUAUGGGAAGGAAAGCUGCCAGGCUGCUCUGCGAGCCAGUAGGUAUUCUUGGAGACAAAACAUUCAGUCUGGACCCGGCGCUGGUGGUUAAGCUUUAUUUGGUUCUCAUUUCCUUGAGAACUGGAUGCUCCUCUCCAUCUGUCAGCUCACAAAGCUGGGUCAGGCCGGCUGCAUCCUCUGCUCCAAAGCAAGGACCCCAAAAGGGAUCAGCUCCCCUUGACAUCAACGGGUUCUGGAUUGGGCCCCAGGCAAAGGCUCUCAAGAACGUGCUGCAGUUUGGGAAGCGGAGAAGCUGCGGUUUAACAUGGGAAUAGUUGGAGCAAGAAAAAUGUUAUUACCAAAACUCAGCUUAAACCAAGAGUACCGCGAGGUCAAACGCUGCAGCCAGUCAGAAACACAGUGUUCUUGAGGAUUGUUAUACUGGAGUUACAGGAGACAAGGUGCUUUCGUGGUAAAUGGAAAACGCAGCUCGGCAGAGAGGAGGAAGCUGCAGCAAAUGCACUGCUGAUGUUAAGCUGCUGCCUCCCUGGGGCCAAGCAGCAGUGCAUGACUGGGAACGUCCCAUCCCUGGGUCAGCAGCUGGACACCUCCAAGGCAGGGACCCCCCAGCCCCUCUUAAAGCUCUCUUGAAUGAUCCCAUGCUGCAGAGAGUACUACUCUGUACAAACAUGUAUACAAAUGUAAGUACAUCCAUAUACUUGGCUGAGAUGUAUAAACUCUGCAAUGGACUUUGGAUGUAAGUGUGGU